rnacentral:tRNA from 1 species
ACGGGAAUGGCGGAAUUGGUUUACGCACUAGAAUUAGGUUCUAGCCUAUAUAGGUUCAAGUCCUAUUUCCCGUA